GGGGAUGAAGCUCAGUGGUAAAGUGCUUGCUUUGCAUGCAGAGGUCCUGGGUUUGAUCCUCAGCACCAUCA
rfam:Ictidomys tridecemlineatus contig095406, whole genome shotgun sequence.